rnacentral:rRNA from 1 species
AUGGCCGCCGCUCGAGCCCGAUGGCGGCUCCUCGCGCUGCCCCUGGCGCUGCUCCUCGCGAUCGGCUCGUCGCGCGGCGUCGACGCGGCGCCCAAGCCCCCCGUCCCCAAGGCCAUCUCCGACCUGAGGGAGGCGAUCGUCAAGGGGCUGGGGCUCCAGUCGGAGGAGCUCAAGGUGUCCGGGUUCGACGUGAGGGACGCGCUGGUGGGGCACGCGGUGGCGUACGAGUUCGACAUGGAGGUCGGGAGGAAGGCCGUGCCGGUGCGGCUGCUCGAGGACGUCAACCGGUGGGACUUCGUCGACCUGCCCAUCUUCCGGUCCCAGGCCGACGCCGACGACACGGCGCUCGCCGAGAUCGGGCGGGGUAGCUUCGACCCCACACUGCCGCCCUUCCAGCUCGCCGGGCCCAUGGAGCUAUGGAUCCAGGACGGCGACGACGUCAGGCUCGCUUUGCCGCAUGAUGUGGAAGCUGGAACCCUGAAGAAAGUUGUUCUUGCUGACGGUGCGGUGGUAACAGUGAAAGGUGCUAGGGCGGUGAGCCUCCGUUUGCCCCUCGAACUACCACUUCCUCUCAACCGCACCACAUACAAGGGCCGUCUGUCUAGCUUGCUUUCCAUUGCUCGAGCCCUACGCGGUGCAGCUCGGUCUAAUCAGAAACCCCUGAUGUCCCUCCGGAUCGAGGGUCCAACCUCCUUAUCCUCAACCCCGUCCAUGUCUCCGAAUGACAAGCUCAAGCUCAAAAGGUUGGCCCCAGGUCAAGUGGAGCUCUCCUCGCGUGCGAUCCCUGCUGUCACUGACGAUGAGGAUGAAUCGCCUAGCCCCGGAUUGUGGCCCUUUUUGUCAUUGAAUGCAUCAGAUGGCAGCCUGCAGGGGCUUGAAGAACUACUGGCGAAGGUUUUGGGUAAGAAGGCCGGUGAGAAGGGCACGUUCAAGUUGGUGAAUGCACGGGCCUCGGCACAAACAUAUGUCAAAAUGGGAUUCACGGUGGAGAAGCGGAUUGCUGAUGGAGAGGUGAACUGGUCUAACUUGCCAGAGUGGAGAACAAAGCCCAAGAAGUUGAGAGCGCACUAUGAAGUUCUUGCUCGCGUGGAGCGUGGCCAGGCGAUCCCGGAAAGGAUCGCCCAGGUGCAGCCUUUCCAGGUCGACGAGGCCAUGUCCGAGAGCAUGCUCACUGGAAACGUGUCUAGAUCGAAGAUGGAGGUAGUAAACCCCCCACCGGUUUAUUUCACUUUGUGA